AUGGUAGUCCCAGAUCUCAAUUUCACUCCACCUGAAGAAGGCAACGAAGAACCUGAAGAAGAAAGCAACAAUGCUGGUCAAAAUUCAGGAGUACAAAGGCAAAGGAAUUGGCUCACUGAUGCGCAGAGAUAUGCCGCUUACAUGUCCUUGGAAACCCUCCAUAAGAGUAGAGGAGGCAAGUUCAAGAGAACUGAUAAGAAGGACGUGGCUGCAAUAUUUGGAGCACAUGUUCGAGUUAUUCAAAGAAUAUGGGAGACGGCAAUGAAACAGAAAGGCCUUGGUCAGGAGGUGGAUGUUUCAAACAAAAGAAAGGAAAAUUUUGGAAGAAAAUCUUAUGAUGAUAUCCUAUCUCUCAUUCCGACAAUUCCCUUAAACAAGAGGUCAACUAUUCGAUCUCUAGCCAAGGCACUAGGUGUAAGCCCUACUACACUAUACAAGAAGUUCAAGUUGAAUAAGAUAAGGAGACACUCCAACAGGGUAAAGCCGGUACUGACAGAGAAAAAUAAGAGAGAUAGGGUGGAUUUUUGCCUCUCUAUGAUAGAUGAGGCAACAUUAGGAGAUGUAAGCCCAAGUUUCAGGAGUAUGCAUAAUAUUGUUCACAUUGACGAAAAAUGGUUCUCCAUGACCAAGAGAAAGAGGAACUACUAUCUGCUGCCUGACGAAGAGGACCCGGAAAGACCUGUCAAAAACUCGAUUGGAAAAGUGAUGUUUCUCACAGCGGUAGCAAGACCACGGUUUGAUGAAGAUGGGAGCAUGACAUUCUCUGGAAAAAUUGGGGUAUGGCCAUUCGUGAGAGUGACUGCAGCAGCAAAAAAAAGCAAGAACAGGGAAAAAGGGACAUUGGAAACAAAGCCUGUCAUAGUGACGAGGGAUGUGAUGAGAGAGUACAUUAUACAGAAGGUUGUGCCAGCGAUUCAAGCAUUGUGGCCUGCAGAUGAUGAUGGACAACCCAUUUUUAUCCAGCAAGAUAACGCGAGAACACAUAUCCUACCUAAUGAUCAAGCAUUCGCAGAAUCUGUGGACGAAAGUGGCCUGGACAUCAGAAUAAUGUAUCAGCCUCCAAAUUCUCCGGACAUGAACGCCCUGGACCUUGGGUUCUUCAGCUCGAUUCAGUCGCUAACAGACUGCAAAAGUCCGAAAACUAUUCCAGAGCUGAUUAAAGGUGUUCAAGAGGAGUUCGAUGGAUAUGAAGUUUCAAAACUUAACAGAGUAUUCAUAACUCUGCAGACUUGCAUGGUUGAAGUAAUGAAGAAUGGUGGAGCCAAUAAAUACAAAAUCCCGCACAUGAACAAGGAUAGGCUAGAAAGGCUACAACUGCUACCGCCCAGGAUCUCAGUUCCUCCCGAAGUGUAUGCAAUGGCACUAGAGAUGCUUGGACGCUGA
rnacentral:rRNA from 1 species